AUGGGAACGCGAAGAACCUUACCUACUCUUGACAUCCAGAGAACUUUCCAGAGAUGGAUUGGUGCCUUCGGGAACUCUGAGACAGGUGCUGCAUGGCUGUCGUCAGCUCGUGUUGUGAAUGUUGGGUUAAGUCCCGCAACGAGCGCAACCCGUUAUCCUUUGUUGCCAGCGGUUAGGCCGGGAACUCAAAGGAGACUGCCAGUGAUAAACUGGAGGAAGGUGGGGAUGACGUCAAGUCAUCAUGGCCCUUACGAGUAGGGCUACACACGUGCUACAAUGGCGCAUACAAAGAGAAGCGACCUCGCGAGAGCAAGCGGACCUCAUAAAGUGCGUCGUAGUCCGGAUUGGAGUCUGCAACUCGACUCCAUGAAGUCGGAAUCGCUAGUAAUCGUAGAUCAGAAUGCUAACGGUGAAUACGUUCCCCGGGUCUUGUACACACCGAGUCGUGGGAGGGCAAGGGGCACGACAGGGGGGGG
rnacentral:rRNA from 1 species